AAAUUUCUUCUCUAUUUUCGAGAAUGCUCAAUUGGAACAAAAUAUAUUGAAACUUCCAGCUAAUUUUUUUUUUACCCGAAGGUCACUCAAAAAAAUCAAAUACAGAUCAUAACAGAAGAUCCUUAAGGACAAACAUUUCUUUCUCACAAACAAACAAUAAAACAAAAAACAAAAAUAUCAGUCGUGUGCCACCAACACGGCAAUGUCCUUCACAACCUGUCAACAGAAUUGAACAUAAUGUGACUACUUAUUGUCAUCUUCAUUCACAUCAAUUCGAGGACAUUUGUGACAGUGGCAUCAAGGUCAAAAGAAGGCAAUACAAAUUGACUUCUGAAGUGAAAAAUACAUCACCACUGAGCGGAAAGACAAAGUCAAGAAAAAGCAAGAAGUCAUAUCUCCAAUAAAUAAAGGAAGGGGAAAUUAACGCGCGUGAGGG